UACAGAGGGUGCAAGCGUUGUUCGGAAUUAUUGGGCGGAAAGAGCGCGCAGGCGGUCGUUCAAGUCGAGUGUGAAAGCCCCCGGCUCAACUGGGGAGGGUCACUCGAUACUGGUCGACUCGAAGGCAGGAGAGGGAAGUGGAAUUCCCGGUGUAGUGGUGAAAUGCGUAGAUAUCGGGAGGAACACCAGUGGCGAAGGCGACUUCCUGGCCUGUUCUUGACGCUGAGGCGCGAAAGCUAGGGGAGCAAACGGG
rnacentral:rRNA from 1 species